rnacentral:rRNA from 1 species
UACGGAGGGGGCUAGCGUUGUUCGGAAUUACUGGGCGUAAAGCGCGCGUAGGCGGACCUGCAAGUCGGGGGUGAAAGCCCGAGGCUCAACCUCGGAACUGCCUUCGAUACUGCGGGUCUCGAGUCCGGGAGAGGUGAGUGGAAUUUACGGUGUAGCAGUGAAAUGCGUAGAGAUCGUAAGGAAGACCAGUGGCGAAGGCGAGUCUCUGGACAGUUACUGACGCUGAGGCACGAAGGCCAGGGGAGCAAACGGG